rnacentral:rRNA from 1 species
UACAGAGGGUGCGAGCGUUGUCCGGAAUCACUGGGCGUAAAGGGCGCGUAGGUGGCGCCGCAAGUCCAUGAUGAAAGCUCGAUGCUCAACAUCGAGUCGGCCACGGAGACUGCGGGGCUCGAGCACUGUAGGGGCAGAUGGAAUUCCGGGUGUAGCGGUGGAAUGCGUAGAGAUCCGGAAGAACACCGGUGGCGAAGGCGGUCUGCUGGGCGAGUUGCUGGACACUGAGGCGCGACAGCGUGGGGAGGCAAACAG